AACGAACGCUGGCGGCAUGCCUAACACAUGCAAGUCGAACGAGAUCUUCGGGUCUAGUGGCGCACGGGUGCGUAACGCGUGGGAAUCUGCCCUUUGGUUCGGAAUAACAGUUGGAAACGACUGCUAAUACCGGAUGAUGACGAAAGUCCAAAGAUUUAUCGCCAGAGGAUGAGCCCGCGUAGGAUUAGCUAGUUGGUGUGGUAAAGGCGCACCAAGGCGACGAUCCUUAGCUGGUCUGAGAGGAUGAUCAGCCACACUGGGACUGAGACACGGCCCAGACUCCUACGGGAGGCAGCAGUGGGGAAUAUUGGACAAUGGGCGAAAGCCUGAUCCAGCAAUGCCGCGUGAGUGAUGAAGGCCUUAGGGUUGUAAAGCUCUUUUACCCGGGAUGAUAAUGACAGUACCGGGAGAAUAAGCUCCGGCUAACUCUGUGCCAGCCGCCGCAGUAAGAC
rnacentral:rRNA from 1 species